AGAACUUCUUGUAAAUGCACUAAUGAAAAAUGCUUCAUUCAUUGCUUGUUGGUGUUUUUGUCUUUCUCUUAAUGCUAGUUAUGACUUGAUCAACCAUAUCUUGAUUGUGGGGUUUACUUAAGGUUGGGAAACAUUGGGUGAACCUUGAACUAGACUAAACACCUAAGGGAAAUAGUGUCUAGGGAUAGAGCUAGAACCAUUAGUUGUCUUAAACUUCUUUUCUUAAUGCGGGUGAGUUUGUUGGAUUACCAAGGGAUUGGGAUGUAACAAAUGAACUUAGGCUAUCUCACCAAGGAAUUGGGUUUUAGUAAUUUAGCUAGUUGACAAGAACAAGUAAUUGAUGAAGGGUAGUGUAGUGCAUUUGCAUAGAAGGAAUUAGUGAAAUCAUUCUCCAACAUGUUCAUUCCACAUAGUUAUCAAUCAUUUCAUAUUCACUUGUUUUGGCCCCAAGUAGCUCAAACUUUUACUUAUGCAUAAAUUUUACUUUCAUUGCACAAUACCAAACAAAAAUGGAAUCAUUCUUUAGUUUGAAUUAGUUAGUAAUUAUACGAUCGUAGAGUAAUAACGAAGUCUCUUGGGAAACGAUAUCCGGUCUUAUCGGUAUUACUACUUGAGCGAUUUGGUACACUUGCCAAAGUCUCAACACUCA
rnacentral:lncRNA from 1 species